GUGUUAAAUAUAUCUUUUAUCUGUCCCGAGGAAGGUUUUUACCAAUUCACUCCUGAGGGCUUGUAGCUCAGUUGGUUAGAGCGCGCGCUUGAUAAGCGUGAGGUCGGAGGUUCAAGUCCUCCCAGGCCCACCAAUUUAUGAUCGCUGAUAAAGUUUGCUGAUAAAGUUUUUACGAAUGUUUUGGUGGUCUUUUAUGUUGCAAUCUUUCACUUUUAUGUUGCACUUUUAAAAGCUAUUUGAACUGUUUAGGGGCCGUAGCUCAGCUGGGAGAGCACCUGCUUUGCAAGCAGGGGGUCGUCGGUUCGAUCCCGUCCGGCUCCACCAUCUUUGGUUAUCAUCAUCGUUGGAGAACAAUGUUUGCAAUAGAUCAUAGAUUUUAAGUCUAUCAUCUAUUGCCUGUUCUAUUGAAAUUGUGAAGAGAAGAUAUAUUCAGACAUUACUGUUUUAUUCAUACAGUGCUGUUUUUGUUGUUACUUUAAUGUUUAAAUCCUUCCUUUAAGGAAUGACAAAAAGCUUAAAAACACAACAAAAUACUGUUUUUAAACAGUGUUUUUUAAAUUUAAAACAGCAACUAAAUUUAGUCAUUGUUUUAAACAAUGUAAUGUGUCGCUAGGGUAUGCUCAAAGCCUUAGCUUUAUGAUUGA
rnacentral:tRNA from 1 species